CGUCAGCCUGAGAAAAAGCACACAGGGAAAAAACAGUCAUGUCUGCAGCUUUCUCUAACUGGAGAAGGAAAAGAACUGCAAUCUUGCAAGCAAAGUCUGCUGCAGGAUCCAUUAGAAAACUGCUGCAAAUGAGGCUGUCAUCACCUGGACACUUUAACCUGGAAGCAAUCCAGGCUGCUGCUGAAAGUUCAGAAGAAUACUGAAGCUGAGCAAUGACGAAUUCCAAAUCUUCUCUAGUACUGGCAGCAAUUCCCUUCUUCAGCGGGAAUGGCAGAUGCUAAGUCAUUUCAGAAAAGGGAAGGAUACAAGGU